UACAGAGGGUGCGAGCGUUGUUCGGAAUUAUUGGGCGUAAAGGGCGCGUAGGCGGUGCGGUAAGUCACCUGUGAAAUCUCCUGGCUCAACUGGGAGCUUGCAGGCGAAACUGCCGUGCUGGAGUGUGGGAGAGGUGAGUGGAAUUCCCGGUGUAGCGGUGAAAUGCGUAGAUAUCGGGAGGAAUACCUGUGGCGAAAGCGGCUCACUGGACCACAACUGACGCUGAGGCGCGAAAGCUAGGGGAGCAAACAGG
rnacentral:rRNA from 1 species